CGAUAGUGAACAAGUACCGUGAGGGAAAGGUGAAAAGUACCCCUAACAGGGGAGUGAAAUAGACCUGAAACCGUGCGCUUACAAGCGGUCGGAGCUCUUCGGAGUGACGGCGUGCCUUUUGCAUAAUGAGCCUACGAGUUACUGCUCACUGGCAAGGUUAAGUUAAUAACGGAGCCGAAGCGAAAGCGAGUCUUAACAGGGCGUGCAGUCAGUGGGCGUAGACGCGAAACCCGGUGAUCUACCCAUA
rnacentral:rRNA from 12 species